rnacentral:rRNA from 1 species
CCUACGGGGGGCAGCAGUGAGGAAUAUUGGUCAAUGGACGAGAGUCUGAACCAGCCAAGUAGCGUGAAGGAUGACUGCCCUAUGGGUUGUAAACUUCUUUUAUAAAGGAAUAAAACGAGGCACGUGUGCCUUUUUGCAUGUACUUUAUGAAUAAGGAUCGGCUAACUCCGUGCCAGCAGCCGCGGUAAUACGGAGGAUCCGAGCGUUAUCCGGAUUUAUUGGGUUUAAAGGGAGCGUAGAUGGGUUGUUAAGUCAGUUGUGAAAGUUUGCGGCUCAACCGUAAAAUUGCAAUUGAUACUGGCAGUCGUGAGUACAGUUGAGGUAGGCGGAAUUCGUGGUGUAGCGGUGAAAUGCUUAGAUAUCACGAAGAACCCCGAUUGCGAAGGCAGCUUACUAAACUGUGACUGACAUUGAUGCUCGAAAGUGUGGGUAUCAAACAGGAGUAGAUACCCUAGUAGUC